AGAUGUCCCCAGUUUAAAAACAAACACUGUUCAGAACCAUCUCUGAUGGUGGAGGGCAUGCGCCAUUCCCGCCAGUGCCAGGGCACAUCAGGGACAUUGGUCGGUGGGAGUGGGAGAGAGGCGGCCAUGAGGGAUGAGGGGAGAUCGUGAGGGGAGAUCAUGAAGGGAGAGCAUAGGCAGCCAUGAGGGAAAAUCAUGAGGGGAAAGGUGGCCUGAUACCCAGCUUGUGUCCAUCGGUGUUAUUCUGAUUUAAGAUCAUUGCUCUGGGUGAAGCUCGGUAUAAAGACUAUAAAUUCACUUUCUAGGAGUGCAAGCAAGGAAGAUGCAUCCUGUUAGCCCACAUGUCCGCCUGCAGGUUUGCAAAGAGCGAGGCCUGUCUGGAGAUGUGCUUUUGGAAGAAAUUGCUGCUGGUUGAGAUAAGGCAGACUUUCUAAGAAGAAAACAAUUAAUUCAAUGCAGAAAGCACAUGGGAACCACAGAACUCCUCAUGGUUCUUGCCCAGUUGAGCAGCACUGGUAGAGCAGCUCUCACCUGACACCAGGAUAAUGAGGAGCUUCGCCUGCUCUUCCAGGAGGCUGUGGAAAUACUGG